rnacentral:rRNA from 1 species
CCCAGACUCCUACGGGAGGCAGCAGUGGGGAAUAUUGCACAAUGGGGGAAACCCUGAUGCAGCGACGCCGCGUGAAGGAAGAAGUAUUUCGGUAUGUAAACUUCUAUCAGUAGGGAAGAAAAUGACGGUACCUGGCUAAGAAGCCCCGGCUAACUACGUGCCAGCAGCCGCGGUAAUACGUAGGGGGCAAGCGUUAUCCGGAUUUACUGGGUGUAAAGGGAGCGUAGGCGGUUUAGCAAGUCAGAAGUGAAAGCCCGGGGCUCAACUCCGGGACUGCUUUUGAAACUGUUGAACUAGAUUGCAGGAGAGGUAAGUGGAAUUCCUAGUGUAGCGGUGAAAUGCGUAGAUAUUAGGAGGAACACCAGUGGCGAAGGCGGCUUACUGGGCUGUAAAUGACGCUGAGGCUCGAAAGCGUGGGGAGCAAACAGGAUUAGAUACCCCUGUACUU